GUACGAUCCAAAGAUUGACUUGUGGUCUCUCGGUUGUAUAUUAGCUGAGCUAUGGUCUGGAGAAGUAUUAUUUCCGAACGAUGCAGUUGUAAUGAUCCUUGCCCGCAUGAUUGGUUUGUUCGGUCCCAUCGACCUGGAGAUGCUCCUAAAAGGACAGGAGACACACAAAUACUUCACUAAAGAAUAUGAUCUGUUUUAUAUGAAUGAGGAAACUGAUCAAAUGGAAUUCAUCAUCCCUGAAGAGACCUCCUUGGAGAAUCAUCUGCAGGUUUUCGACUUGGGGUUCAUUGAUUUCCUUACAAAUUUACUCGAGAUCAAUCCAGAAAGACGACCAACUGCGACGGAAGCUCUUG
rnacentral:misc_RNA from 1 species